ensembl:rRNA 5S_rRNA 5S ribosomal RNA
GUCUACGGCCAUACCACCCUGAACGCGCCCGAUCUCGUCUGAUCUCGGAAGCUAAGCAGGGUCGGGCCUGGUUAGUACUUGGAUGGGAGGAUGUCUUUCAUUUGGUUAAAUGAGAUGUGAAAAUG